AUUUAAGUAGUUUAAUAAAAAUGUUGAUUUGUGAUAUCAAAAAUGUAGUUUUCUACCUUAGAUAAUUUGUAAA
rnacentral:tRNA from 1 species